UACGUAGGUGGCAAGCGUUUGUCCGGAUUUAUUGGGUUUAAAGGGUGCGUAGGCGGUCUUAUAAGUCAGUGCUGAAAUAUCCCGGCUUAACCGGGAGGGUGGCAUUGAUACUGUAGGACUUGAGUAGAGUUGAGGUUGGCGGAAUUGACGGUGUAGCGGUGAAAUGCUUAGAUAUCGUCAAGAACACCGAUAGUGAAGACAGCUAACUAAGCUCUAACUGACGCUGAGGCACGAAAGUGUGGGGAUCAAACAGG
rnacentral:rRNA from 1 species